rnacentral:rRNA from 1 species
GAUGAACGCUAGCUACAGGCUUAACACAUGCAAGUCGUGGGGCAGCGGCUACUUAGUUUGCUAAGUAUGCCGGCGACCGGCGCACGGGUGAGUAACGCGUACCGAACCUGCCCAUCACACAGGGACAGGCUUGCGAAAGCAAGACUAAUAUCUGAUGCUCUCAAUUUUAUGCAUGUAUGAUUGAGUAAAGCCUUCGGGCGGUGAUGGAUGGCGGUGCGUCGCAUUAGGAAGUUGGCGGGGUAACGGCCCGCCAAUCCUUCGGUGGGUAGGGGUUCUGAGAGGAAGGUCCCCCACGUGGGAACUGGGAUACGGUCCAAACUCCAACGGGAGGCAGCAGUGAGGGGUGGUAGUCAAUGGGCGAGAGCCUGAACCGGCCGAGGAGCGUGCGAGAUAAGGGCCCUUGUGGUCGUAAGCCGCUUUUAUCAAUGAAUAUAGUGCACCUCAUGUAGUGUCAUUGAAGGUAACUGAAGAAGAAGGACCGGCUAAUUACGUG